CUUUAUCAACAAGAAUAAGGUGCUGUGUAAAAACGACUUAAUAGGGAAUCAUGUGAAAAUCAUGAGCUGACGCGCAACUGUAAGUAACGAGUAAAAAUUUUAUCAAUAAAAACCAUUGCCGAUAUGAAGGUGAGAAGGUAGAUAAAAUGUUAUGAGCCAGGAGACCUGCCUAUUCUUAAUUGACAAU
rnacentral:ncRNA from 2 species